CUGUGUCUGCGAAAGCAAAAGCAAGAGCACCGAUUUGUUGUAAUAUAUUACUGACUCACCAUUGCGUGCAAGAAAGGGUUAACCUGAGCUCAGGUUGCCAGUGGGGGCGGAGCUUAGCAGGCUCCGAGUCUUUUCUCUUCCUGCUUCCUGGAACAAGCAAGAAGUCAUGCGGUCAUGGCUCCUGGCGAGUGAACCGAAUCUCUCAAAAAAUGAGAUUUCGAAGCCUGUAUCUUUACUAACCCAAAGAUUGCAUGGUCCUUUUUGUAAAGAAGCAAAAUACUUUUCUUUUUAAGUCAUUUGGAACCUUUUUCAUCUCUGUUUUACUGCCAGUGGUUGGAGACUUAUUUGCUGUAACUUCUGGAAACUUACUGUGCUCAUGUUGUGGUGUCCCCGACUCUGAGAGGGAGAGAUUGGGACUGUGGGCCUCUGAGUCAGUGAGCAAGUUGAACUCCAUCGGCCUGGAAUAGGAACUGGAGAAUAGCUGAAAAAGAGGCCCAAGUGAUGUCUGAGUGGCAUAUACAAUUAGGAGGGAUUGAUGCUGCAAGGACCGGAUUCAAAUUUCUCCUUUUCACCUGCUAAAGACCUUAAGCGAGACAGUCGCCCCCUCCAGCAAGAGGUGACAAGUUUAGCCAACUUGCAGAAAGACUGCUGUUUCCUGCACAACCGUGUCACACAUACAACCUAGAAUGAUCUAACUAUGGCAGGGAGUGACAAAGGACUAAAACAAACUUCCACGUUAAGUUAAGAGAUGCUGUCUGGAAGCUUUCUAGACAAUCAUUUUCUCUGGUGUUCUGAUGCCACUGCAAAGCCAAAGAGAUCCAUGGGCCCAGACAAUUGCAGUAAUGGGGGAACGUUUGAUACCACAUCCUAAGGUCCAUGGGCAAAUUAAACAGCAAAAUAAUGUAUUAUAAAAGUAAUUUAUGGAUUUACAGUGGC